rnacentral:rRNA from 1 species
CUAACUACGUGCCAGCACGCCGACGGUAAUACGGUAGGUGGUAAGCGUUAGUCCGGUAUUUAGUUGGGACGUAAAGAGGGUGCAGGCGGUUUUCUAAGUCUGAUGUGAAAGCCUUCGGCUUAACCGGAGAAGUGCAUCGGAAACUGGAUAACUUGAGUGCAGAAGAGGGUAGUGGAACUCCAUGUGUAGCGGUGGAAUGCGUAGAUAUAUGGAAGAACACCAGUGGCGAAGGCGGCUACCUGGUCUGCAACUGACGCUGAGACUCGAAAGCAUGGGUAGCGAACAGGAUUAGAUACCCUGGUAG